GCCAGCAGAGGACAAGGGCAGCAGGCAGCUACCUGGCAGGUGUGGAGUGACAGAGGAAUCAGGAAGCAGUCUCUUCUCUGCGCUGUCUUCUGGCUGAAAGAAAAGGGCUGGUGCUGAAGCAUGGAGUAACCAGAGGAUCAGUUAAGGAAAGCAGAGGGCUCUUUGCUGAAGAAAGCACGGCACCAGUCGCAGAGGUCUUUGCAGCCUCUCAGAGACACUUCUGGAGGAGCACCAAGCCACCUCAUACUCUGGCUCUGCUAAUCUCAGCACAGCCUGAAUGCCUGUGAGCAAGAGAGCACCUGGGGCCACCAAAGCUUCUCCCCACAAUGCUCUACAGAGGCAGCGUACAGGAAAAUCACGAAUCACUCCGUCUCACAGAUCAGAGCCUCUGGAGGUUUUAGUGAUUGGCUUCCUCUGAGCAAUGAGAAUGACGCAAAGUCAUCAAUAUAACGUCCAACAGCUGGGCUUUUUGUGACCUAGGUACUUCUACCAGGCCUCCUGUCCUUUGGCCAUACACCACCCUCACUCUUCCUCAAAUGUGGUCCUGCCUCAGGGUCAUUGCACAUCUACUCCUUCUACUUAAAAUGUCUCUCAUCCCUUUAUACAUCUGACGAGCUGCUGUUUUUCCUUGAACAUCUGCUUCAGGUACCAUCUCCUUCAUGAAUAUCUCUUGAUCCCAAGCCAGUGGCCCCUGGGGUCCCCAAGGCACAUGAGGUUUCAUUUCCUGUUAAUGUUAUUACUUUGAUUUUCAUUGUGCUUUUCUGUGCCUGUCCCUCUAUGAACCCUGAGUCCCUGAGGGCAGAACCAUACUGGUUUAGCUCUAUUCUGUCUGCCCAACCCCUAGUUUAUGAAAGGGGUAGAGUCCAUGUAUGCUGAAUGAAGGAACCAAAUUUCUUUGCUCAGUGACCCAGUUGGCAAGUAAAAUCAGAUAAUUACUAUAUCACCUUUGCUCAUAAUAGAGAGAAGCACAGUCUCCCAAGUGAAAAUUCAUUCAUUCAUUCAACAGUUAUUCAUAGCAUAUCUACCAUUGGCCACAUAUUUAGAGACAAAGUAGUAGUUCAUUUAUUCCUGAUGAUGCCCUAGGACAGGUAUUAUAUGCAGGUACACACACACACACACACACACACACACACACACACACACACACUCUGUAUGGUGGAAGAGAUGCCACCCAAGAGACAUUCAUGAAGAACGUGUCUAAAUGAGAAUACAUGGUCAAGGGUAUGACAAGAGGUGACAGAGAUAACAGCACACCCAAAUGCUACCAAUUGGGAACUUGUAGCACAGAACAGAAAACUCUGCAGGGUAGGGAGAGAGACAGGACCAGAUGUGCCCUGGAAGACUUCUGCCAGUUGAUCUGGAUGCACAGGCCAUCUGUCCUAUGGCCCUUGACAUAGUGAGCUCACUAAGGUGAUCUUGACAACACCAUCCUACCAUAGUUCCAAAGACCAUAGAUCCUUUUGCCCUGGAAGGUGAGCUAGCUCAGGGUGUACCUCCAUAUCUCAUCUCUCCCUACUCUCCCUGGUAUGGGCAGAAAUGUUAUGUUGCCCCCUGCAAUUCAUAAUGUUGAAGUUUCAAUGUGGCUGUAUUUGGAGAUGAAGCCUCUAGGAAAGUAAUUCAGGUUAAAUGAGGUCAUAAAGAUAGAGCUGUAGUAUGACAGGGUUAGUGUCCUUCAAGGAAAAGAGACCAAGCCAGUCUCUCUCCCCUGCACACACAAAGAAGUGGUCAUAUGAGUGCAGUAGGGGACAGUGGCGGUCAGCAAUGUAAAGGGAAAGGCCUUAUCAGAUGUCAACCCUGCUGGCACCUUGAGCUGGAGCUUCCAGUCCCCAGAACUGUUUUUAAGCCACCAAGCCUACAGCACUUUGUGAUGGCUGUCUGAGCAGAUAAGCACCCUCCCCAGGAUCAGGCUGUGGUCUUAGAAGGCUCUGGAAGCAAGGCCCUCCUUGUGAGAUGAGCCUCCAAGUCAGACUCUAGGGCACCCUCUGAGGCUGUUAGAGGGGAAGGCAAGGUGAGGCUGUCAGAGGCCUGCAGAGAUCCUGCUAGCAUAUUGUGUUUGCUUGUCUGAGUUUAUGCAGCACAUGAGCCCUGUCCUUUUUACCCCUCCUUUCCUUUCCCUCUUUCUCUUAAUUCAUUUCUCCAUUCCUCCUUUAUUCCCUCUUUCCUCUCUUCCCUCCUUCCCACUGACUGUUCCCUCAGCCAGGCCUCUUCCCAUCUUCAUGGGGAAUAUUAGUUCUCCCCACCAUAAAUGCAAGUAUAUGGUGCCGGAGUAUGGGAUGCUCCUAGAACUGAGGUCCAAUCCUGAUUUUGCUUCUUUGCUAUUUGAUUUACAGCCUGAUGAGCAUAUGCUCAGAGCCCUGCAUUCAUCUUCUUGUGCACUGCAUGCAUAACUGUCUCAGAGAUCUCUGGGCGGGGUGGUAAGAUGAUGAUUGUUAGGUGCUUAAUAGGUAUCUGGAACAUAGGGUGGUGGCCUAUGCUGAGGGCGGACUGCUGCUGCUCCUGAGGCUAUGGGCCAAGUUUUGUGCUAUGUUAGAAGGUAUAGAAAUAAGUAGGCCCUAGCCCUUCCCCAUGGUUUCCAUGUUUGUGCUUCAUCUGUUUGAUAGGAAAUCUAUUCUCAGGGUCCCCAUCUGGUAUUAAAAGGCUCAGAUUAGUUAAGGAAGGGAAUGUGGUUGGCACCUGAUUAUGUGCAAUUCAGCACUCUGCUCACGGCUGUGUUGUACCAUUUCCCAAAUGUUCUGCAUGCAUAAGUCUGGCCUCCUCAAAUAGACUGGGAGCUUUUAGAAAGGCAAAGGCCAAGGCUCCUCCUGCUUUGUGUACACCCCCUGCCCCAUCCCUGUGCAGCUCAGCCUUGUCCAGAACAUUCUAAGUAUUCCACAAAUAUACACACUCAGAUCGCUUAGGCUGGGAAA